AAGGCCCUGAGAGUGAAUGCAAAGCUCUAACAACAUGCUCUCUCCAACUCCAUCUUCCAAUACAAGGAAUCAAGUAUCUUGUCUAUGCUGAAGAACUUACUGGUGUUCAUGGAAAGUGAUUGCUUUCAAGGAUGUGCUGUAUAGAAUGUGCACACUGCCUGGGAGGCUGCCUCCUUCCUCUGAUGCUGUUUGGUGUCCUGUCAAAUAUCCUGCUCUGCUUUCCCGUAAUGACCAUAGUGAAAUUUGAACAACAUAGUGAUGAAGUCACAUACUUUGGAGGAAUAAUCGGAUGUGGGAUAAUAAUGAUCUUUCCUGCUCUCACAUUUCUGACUGUGGGGGCAAAAAUAUUGAAAUAUCCUAAAUGUAAGUGCUGUUGACCAAGGUGUUUGCUGGCAGUAAGUUCUGGUCAGGUGUAAAUCUGUGCAAUACAACUGGUAAACGGCCUUCUUGGAACAUUGUGUGGAGUGUGGAAUUGAAAUGAAUAUUGUAAGGAUAAGUAAUCUGCUUAAAGCUCUAUGAUGAGCCUUGACUACUCUCAUAAAAGAGCCAUCAUCUUUGGAAGGUUUCAAAGGAUUCCCCUGCUCAUUUCUUGAGGAGUUACUACUAUAAGG
rnacentral:lncRNA from 1 species